rnacentral:rRNA from 1 species
GGCGUAAAGCGCAUGCAGGUGGCGGAUUAAGUCAGAUGUGAAAGCCCGGGGCUCAACCUCGGAACCGCAUUUGAAACUGGUUCACUAGAGUAUUGUAGAGGGGGGUAGAAUUUC